ACGAUCGAAAACGUAACCAAGAAGAUGCGGACUUACUGGUAGUCCAAAAUGGGAGAAAGAAGCCAAGAUACAUGUUAGGGGGCACGCAAAGAGCUGGCCACAACGACAAUGCAAGAAACAGGCUUCAAGCCCGCGCAUCAGCGGGACGUGAAGACAAUGGGAGACAACUGCGUACGCCUGGCACAGAAAGAAGGCCGGUGAGGGACUGAUCCUCAAAGUCAAGAUGACAUUAUCAUUCAUUUUGUUUGUAUGUUAAUGUCUGAAAAAAAUUAAAUGUGGUUGGUGUAUUUAUUGUUAUUUUUUCACUAUGUACAUUGCAGCUUUUACAAUAAUGAUAUCAUUGCAUGUACAAUUUCGGUGUCCUAAAGAGUAUGUCCUUAAAUUGUUAUUA
rnacentral:lncRNA from 1 species